rnacentral:lncRNA from 1 species
GAACCGUUAUAAAGCAUAACUAUGACAGUGCGGCAAUCUGUGUUCUAAAAGAAUGACUCUGGCAGUAGUGUGGAGGGUGGACUGGAAGGAGUAUUUGCUGAAGGAUCAUCUGAACUCUGCUUAGAAUAAAGAAAUAAGAGAUUCACUCUUUUGUGAGGUUGCUGGAUGUUGAACACAGUGGUCUGCAGCACAGAUCAGAUGCCCAUUCUUCUCGCUGCCCUGUGAGGCAACACAGGUCAGCCUGCUGCUUCUGUACCACAGCUCCUCAGAUAUUCAAAGAAAGGGGCUAUGUUCUCCCUCAGUCUGGAAGCUGCUUAGGGGAGUAUUUUAUGGGAGUAAAGUCAUUCCCAGAAGAAUGAAAAUGUGCCAUCAUGAAGAAGGAACAACUUUUUGUUCUCUUCCUGGAUGUUGGGGUAAAGAGAGUUAAAGAUACCCCAAAGCACAAAAGUCUACAAUCCUGAGUGAGAAAAAAAGAAUAUACCAUUAUGAUAGAGAUAGGGGGUUGGAAGCAAGUUAGUAUAAUGGAACAUUCUCUGUCUCAGAAGAAGGGAGAGAACAUUCUAUAAAACUCAUUUUGCCCGUGACUCAACUGGCUGAGAAGCACUUUUGAAGUAGAAAACGGGAACUCACCAGGUUUCCAGUGCUCACUUGGUUGUGUUGUGCUGUGCCCAAAGUGUUGCUUCUUCUAUGACCUGAAUCAAGUGUUCUGCAUUAUUCCAAUGUCAGACCUGCCAGAGGGCAAAUUACCAAAUCAACAGUCUCCUUGGAUGAUAAAUCUCGAGCUCUUCAGCAGAACAGCAAACCAGCUGCUAUUCUCUGAGCUGCCUCAUGGAAGGGCCCAACUGGCAAGCAACUGAGACAAGCAAUCGUCAGAGAAGAAUGGAUGUACCCCAUCCAAAGUCCUGCAAUGAACUUGAAUGAUCCUGCAAUCUCAGAAUUGAAAGAAUCCUAUCAAAAACAAAGAACUUAUGAGCACAUACUGUACAGUAGAACUUGAGAUGACUGCAGCUCUUGUCUGCACCUUGAAGAUUUGCAAGAGUCCCUGAACUGGAAGACCGCACUAAGCUAUGCUCAGUUUCCUAACCCACUGUAACUACUAUGGAAAUGAUGAUAGACAAAAAGCAAAAUCAAGUGAUUUUCUUAUUCAAGUUCAAAAUGGAUCAUAAAGCAACAGAGACAACUCACAUCAAUAAUGCAUUUGGCCCAGGGACUGUAAUGGGCAUACAAUGCAGUGGUAGUUCAGUAAGUUUUGCAAAGGAGUCGAGAGCUUUGAAGAUAAGAAGCGUAGUAGCCGGACAUCAGAAGUUGACAAUGGUCAGUUGAGAGCAAUCAUUGAAGCUGAUCCUCUUACAACUACACAAAAAGUUGCCAAAGAAUUCAACGUCGACCAUUCUAUGGUUGUUUGGCAUUUGAAGCAAAUUGGAAAGGUGAAAAAGCUCAAUAAGUGGGUGCCAAUGAG